GGCCUGAUAGUUCAGUGGUAGAAUUCUUGCUUUGGGAGCGUUUCGCAUUCAAAUUGUAAGAGGUCUCCGGUUCGAUCCCGGAUUAGGCCC
rfam:Pseudogymnoascus pannorum VKM F-4516 (FW-969) contig_802, whole genome shotgun sequence.